UACGGGGGGGGUAAGCGUUGUUCGGAAUUACUGGGCGUAAAGGGCUCGUAGGCGGCCAACUAAGUCAGACGUGAAAUCCCUCAGCUUAACUGGGGAACUGCGUCUGAUACUGGAUGGCUUGGAUUCGGGAGAGGAAUGCGGAAUUCCAGGUGUAGCGGUGAAAUGCGUAGAUAUCUGGAGGAAACCCGGUGGCGAAGGCGGCAAUCUGGGCCGGCAAUGGCGGUUAAGAGCGAAAGCCAGGGGAGCAAACGGG
rnacentral:rRNA from 1 species